GAUGUCAGGUGUCUGAGCCCAGCAGUCCACAGGAGGGUGGGAGGGAGACUACUGGGGGUGCAGACGGGUUCACAGUCAGCACACGCCCGGUGAGGCACACGGUGUGGAGGUGAAGAACUGGGUCUCUUGCCUUAAAGAGUGGGUGUGUAUAAGUGGGCUUCUCUCUCUCUUUUUUUUUUUUAAAGAGCUCUGGGGAGUGGCAGGGAGACUUCACAAAGGAAGCAGACUUGGGUUUUAUUUUAUUUUUAUUUAUUUUUUAAUUUUUUAAAAAUUUAUUUUAUUUUAUUUUAUUUUAUUAUUAUUUUUUGGCUGUGUUGGGUCUUUGUUGCUCCACGCGGGCUUUCUCUGCCUGCGGUGCGGGAGCUACUCUUCGUUGAGAGCUGGCGGGGCCAGACGUGAGGGCAGUCUUGGAGGGAGCGUGCUCUUCUGCUUCUCCACCAAGAUUCUCUCCCGGACCCGGUCGGCUCCGCGUGCCCGACAGACUGCGCAGCGAGAACAGCCGCCCAGGCAAGGGCGGGGAGGGAGAGCCCUGCGGGCCCGCGCGGCCGUGCCUCCCGCUCGUCGGUGGUCGGGGCACCGCCGGUGAGCCGGCUGUAAGCUCAUGAGUGCGUGGCUCCCGGGCGGCUGGCCCGCGUCCGAGCACAAGCGUCCGGCCCUCCGUCUGACCGUGUUGUGAAAUGCUCUCCCGCUCCUGGAAGGGGAACAGCAGUUCUAGGAAUUCCGCACUUGUACUCUGGUCGGGCCUCACGUCCUGCGGAGGAGCGCUGCUGCCAGAGAGGCCCGGGGAGAGCGAGCGACCAGCGUCUCAACUUACAGGGUCUCAACUUACAGGAGCCGUAUCCAGACGCCGCUUGGCCCCCAGGGGAGGGCGGGACCGCAGGGGGGGGCCGGGGAUGAAGAAGGAAUCUAGGAGGCCUCCCUCCCAGGGAACAUCCUGUUCUGGCCAAACAGGCGGGAAAGGAGGCAGAAGUCUGGAGACCCCUAGGACUUCCCCAGUGGCCGGUGCGGUGGCCCCGCUGCCCUGCUCAUGAUAAACAGAGGCUGGUGUUGGAGGCGGCACGGGCUGGGUCUGCCUCAGGAUGGCUGCGAGGGGCCGGCCUUUCUGAGCCUCAGUUUCCUGUCUGGGAGUCGAGGACAAUGUGUCUCCCUCCUGGGGGUCGAGGGGGCCACGGAGACCUAGCAGGUCAGGCUCUGAGCGCCGCCCCCCUGCCCACAGGCAGGCAGGGCUCACGUGGUGAUGUGAUCUUCAGGCCACUCCUGGGAGGCGCGGGUCUCGUUUGCACCGAGCUGUGGAAUGAAGCUGGGACUGGGAGGUGAGGGCUGGUGUGUGGCGCACCCGGGUUUGAGCCCAGAACUGCUGCGUCCCCGGCCCCGGGCUAGUUACACUUGAAAAGCACCUGCCCACAAGGAGAUCCUAAAAAUAAAUGGUUGGUGUCAGAGCUGGAA